CACGAAGUUAGCCGGGGCUUCUUCUCACGCUACCGUCAUCAUCGUCGCGUACGAAAGAGCUUUACAACCCGAAGGCCUUCAUCACUCACGCGGCAUUGCUGGAUCAGGCUUGCGCCCAUUGUCCAAUAUUCCCCACUGCUGCCUCCCGUAGGAGUCUGGGCCGUGUCUCAGUCCCAGUGUGGCUGAUCAUCCUCUCAGACCAGCUAAGGAUCGUUGCCUUGGUAGGCCGUUACCCCACCAACAAGCUAAUCCUACGCGGGCCCAUCCCCAUGGCGAUAAAUCUUUGUCCCGCAGGACACAUACGGUAUUAGCUCCAGUUUCCCGGAGUUAUUCCGUACCACAGGGCAGGUUCCCACGCGUUACUCACCCGUGCGCCACUAGGGCCGAAGCCCUCGUUCGACUUGCAUGUGUUAGGCAUGCCGCCAGCGUUCGUUCUGAGCCAGGAUCAAACUCU
rnacentral:rRNA from 1 species